rnacentral:lncRNA from 1 species
UUAAUUCUUCUCUACAUUUUUUUUUCUUUCUUUUUCUUUCCAUUAAUUUUUGUUCCCCACUUCUCUACACCACUUUUCCCCACCACUCACUUUCCCCCACCGCUCAUCAUUUUUCCCACCACUCAUCACUCAAUUAUGCAAUAUUACACCAUUUUCACUCCCAAUCUUCACAAGGGAAUUCACCCAGGAGAAAUCUGCAUUCAUCGCCCUGCUGCCAAAAUUUCAGAGGUAAGCUUGGUUCAAUUUCUUCACCUUCUUCCAUAUUCCACCUGCAUUAAUACAAGAACA